rnacentral:rRNA from 1 species
UACGUAGGGGGGCAAGCGUUGUCCGGAUUUAUUGAGCGUAAAGAGCGUGUAGGCGGCUAGAUAGGUCCGUUGUGAAAACUCGAGGCUCAACCUCGAGACGUCGAUGGAAACCAUCUGGCUAGAGUCCGGAAGAGGAGAGUGGAAUUCCUGGUGUAGCGGUGAAAUGCGCAGAUAUCAGGAAGAACACCCGUGGCGAAGGCGGCUCUCUGGUACGUGACUGACGCUGAGACGCGAAAGCGUGGGGAGCAAACAGG